CACGGAGAACAGCGAUCUUCCCUGAGGGACCUGGUUGCAGAAAGAGAAGCCCUGAGCUCUUCAGGAGUCCAUCCUCCAAAAAAGCGGCUGGGAGGGCUGCGCAGGUGCAGGAUCUUUUUGGCUACUGGUGUGAAGAACAGACUGAAGAAAGGCAAAGGUAGAGGCAGGGAGCCCAAUUAGGAGACAGUAGUCCAGAUAACACCUACUAAGAAGAUAGAAGACUUACUUUCAUCAUCUGAAUCAAAUCCAAAGAGUGUCUGACAUUUCUUUUGUGCAAGGUAUUCUUUUAAAUAUUUUUAAGAAUUUAGGUCCAAGAUGGCGACGUAGGCAGACCCUGAACUCACCUCCUCCAGGGACACAACAAAUCUGCACCUACACAGAGAGCAAUUCCUCCUGAAGAACUGAGGACUGACUGAACAGCUGAACAACAAAAGUAAGAGCGACCACAUAGAGAAUGGCAAGAAAGACGGAGACACGGUAAUAGGGAAUCCCCACUCUCACCCCUGUAAACUGCAGUGGGGAGGGACAGUAAUAAGGGACUAUGAGCAGAUUCAUCUGCUCUGAGGUACAGAAAAAAAAGUUGCAGUUUAAAAGGGCAACUAGAAUAUAAAGGAUCUAGCCCUAGAACUCUGCCAAAUGGCAGGGAGACUGCUGGAACUUUCUCUAGGUCAGUGGGGCUGUCAAGCACCACAGUUUACACAUUCCCCAUCCACCGUGACAGCAUGGACAGGAGCAUGGUCCAGACACCCUACCACCUCAAUGAGCCCUGGUCCUCUACCCAUACCAGCCCCAACUGUCUCACUAAGGAGGCCCAGUACAGUGCAUACCGGGUCACCCUUGUCAGUGUUCACUGUAGCUCAAGACUACUUGACAAGGUAACACAGGCACAAAGCACCCUGGAACGCUCCAGACCCACACCACUUCAGCUGCAGACAACUUGCCAGAACACUGUGGUCCACACCUGCUUCUGCUCCAGCUGCCCGAAAAGGGCACCCCACACAGAAUGCCCCAGGAUGCCUCAGCCUGCACCCACUUUAGCUUCUGCUAUUACCCACAACACAAGAGAGCCCUGAGACCACCCCGUACCCACUUCAGCUUCAGCUGUCCUGCCAGUGUGCCCUCUGUGCAGAAAACCCCAGAAGCAGCCCAGCCUACACCUACUUCAGCUCUGGGCGUCCCACCAGCAUGGCCCCAGCACAGGGAGUCCCAGGACAUUCAGCCUAUAACAGCUACAGCUCUAGCCAGCUAGCCAAAGUCAUCAGGCACACACAAUCCACACAGGGGAUAACCAUACACAGGAUCAUUCCUUCAAGUUUAGGAGAAGUAGGUGUUCCACCUAAUUCGCAGAAAUAAACACAGAAAGUCAAACAAAUGGGGACAGAGGAAUAUGCUCCAAAUUAAAGAACAAGACAAAGCCUCAGAAAAAGAACUAAAUAGAACAGGGAUAAGCGAUCUACCUGAUAAAGAGUUCAAAGUAACGGUCAUAAACUCAGGACUUCAACAAAGAAAGAGAAAAAAAAAUAAAUACAUACAUACAUACAUACAUACAUAAUUUUUUUAAAAAAUGAGUAUGGCUUAAGGGCUAUCUUGGAUAACACUGAGUAAACAAACAUUUACA